GGGGGUGUAGCUCAGUCUGGCAGAGCGCCUGGUUUGCAUCCAGGAGGCCGUCGGUUCGAAUCCGAUCACCUCCA
rnacentral:tRNA from 1 species